UGUUGGGUAGAGAGAGAUGGGGAUGGCAGCGCUGGGAAAAGAGAGAUGGCGGCGAAGGCGGCGGUGGCACUGAGUAGAGGGAGAUGACGUCAGCGGAAGGAGCAGCUCGUCUCUCCUCUUCGUAUCAUCGAUGAGGACGUGGGCUACAGGAGCGUGAGGAUUGGAAACCUCUUCCUCCAUAAUCUUGCCGAGCUGUUCCUCCUACUUUGAAGCAACUCGGCGAGGAGAGCAACCUGAAUGAGGCACCCAAAGUGUGGGAAGAAUAAAAAGUAAUUCAAGUUAGGUGUAUUGUUGUCCAGAUGAGUUCGUCAUGUGCUAGAAGGAUCGAACAGCUGGACCUGGAAGCCACGAGAGCUGCCCGAGGAAGAGGGCG